rfam:Pterocles gutturalis contig1385, whole genome shotgun sequence.
UCAAAGGCUUUUUUGCAAGCAAAAAGCCACAAAGUAAACACAUGAAAAAAAAA